CGUGGAGACAGGUGGUGCAUGGCUGUCGUCAGCUCGUGUCGUGAGAUGUUGGGUUAAGUCCCGCGACGAGCGCAACCCUCACCCCUAGUUGCCACCGGGUUAAGCCGAGCACUCAAGGGGAACUGCCAGCGUCAAGCUGGAGGAAGGCGGGGAUGACGUCAAGUCAUCAUGCCCCUUACGCCCUGGGCUACACACGUGCUACAAUGGCCAGUACAAAGGGACGCGAGACUGCGAAGUGGAGCUAAUCCCAAAAAGCUGGUCUAAGUUCAGAUUGCAGUCUGCAACUCGACUGCAUGAAGGAGGAGUCGCUAGUAAUCGCGUAUCAGCCCGGCGCGGUGAAUACGUUCCCGGGCCUUGUACACACCGCCCGUCACACCACGAAAGCUGUCUGUACUCGAAGUCGCUGAG
rnacentral:rRNA from 1 species